AACAGUUAGCUUUCCCUGACUCCCAUGAAGACAAUGACCCAACAUCACCACCAUCAUCAUCAUUCAUCAUAUAUCAUCAUCAUCACCAUCUCUUUUGUUUGUCCCUUCUUUGAACCACCACUUGCUAAUACCUACUGGCUACAUACAGCUACUUCUCCCUUUUCUAUAAAUUACUGUUUUUUCACUUAUACUCUCAGCACUGCUAGGUUGGGGAAGGUACAAAAGAAGACCUAGCUAGGGUUUUCAGAAACUCACAAAAAUCUAAGCUGGUGAAAUCUCAAUUAAGAUCCAUUAACUUUCAGCCUUUGUCUCUCUCUCUCUCCUGGUAGCUUCUUCUUGACAAGACCCAUCAGUGGUCUUGCUUGUACAGUAAAGCUUGCUUCGUUCUGCGAAGUUUCAAACAUAUCACUCAGUAUCCGAACCUUGUAUUGUCAUCGAAAGACAUGCAACAGAGGAGUCUGCACGGUCAAAAAUGUUGAGGCCUAUAUAGAAAAUAGAUAUAGCUAUGAUACUAAGUGGUUUUGAUCAAACAAAAAUUAUAAACUAAGGGAAGUUUAUGACAU